UACGGAGGGGGCGAGCGUUAUUCGGAAUUAUUGGGCGUAAAGGGCGCGUAGGCGGCUGUACAAGUCAAAGGUGAAAUCCCUCGGCUCAACUGAGGAACUGCCUUUGAAACUGUACGCUUGAGGCCGGGAGGGGGUAGCGGAAUUCCCAGUGUAGCGGUGAAAUGCGUAGAUAUUGGGAGGAACACCAGUGGCGAAGGCGGCUACCUGGACCGGUUCUGGACGCUGAUGCGCGAAAAGCGUGGGUAGCAAACAGG
rnacentral:rRNA from 1 species